rnacentral:lncRNA from 1 species
UUACAUCUAAAAAUUACGAAAAAUCAAAGUUUCGACUUGAAAGUAUUGAAAAUCAAAAUCUAAAAGUGGAAACACAAUACAAUAUACUAGUUGGUUGCAUGCAUUUGCAGCAUUUCAUUUGAUAUUUUCAGUAUUUAGAAACAAAUUAAUUGAAUUAAAUUCAAAAGUAUUAAAGUAGAACUGUCAUGAUGACAUCUUUGAAUUUUGUGAAAUGAUAUACAAUAUCGGUAUCGGCAAAAUAUCGGUCCUUCAAAAUCGGUUAUCGGAAUAUCGGUGAACUUCCAUAUCGGUGCAUCACUAAAUUUUACUUAAUUCUGCUUCUGAGAGGCAGAUUUGAACACUUAUUAAGAUUUUCAAGGAACAGCUAGCCUAAUUCAAGGCCAAGGGACGGUUGCACGAAGACCUGAUACAGUAGCGCUAUCUACCACGGACAGUGAUUUUUCAACCCUUGUAAAACUUCGUGAAAAGCUGUAAAACUACGGAUGUGGGCCUCACAAUGAAUAAAAAAAAGUUUAAUUUAUAAAUACUAGAGUUCAAGCUGAGUUCUACCAAAUCAACGGACAAUUUUAAAAACCUGGAAAAAUCACUAUCCGCUGAAUAGCGCUAUUUGACUUUCGUACAGUAUGUGUUGAACCAGCCCCAGGCCACGAGAUACAGACGUUGAACUGGUAAUACAAUUAAGUAACAAUAUAUAGCAUUUGACAUUUGUAUAUUCAUAAAUUUCAUGUAGUUUUAAAAGCAGUUACUGUUAAAAUUUUGAGAAGUGUAACAAUAUAUAGCUAGCACUAGUUGCAUAUUCAUAAACUUGUGGUUUUAAAAGCAGUUACUGUCAAAAUUUUGUGAUGUGUUUAUUUGUCC